AUUGAACGCUGGCGGCAGGCUUAACACAUGCAAGUCGAGCGGUAGCACAGGGGAGCUUGCUCCCUGGGUGACGAGCGGCGGACGGGUGAGUAAUGUCUGGGAAACUGCCUGAUGGAGGGGGAUAACUACUGGAAACGGUAGCUAAUACCGCAUAACGUCGCAAGACCAAAGAGGGGGACCUUCGGGCCUCUUGCCAUCAGAUGUGCCCAGAUGGGAUUAGCUAGUAGGUGGGGUAAUGGCUCACCUAGGCGACGAUCCCUAGCUGGUCUGAGAGGAUGACCAGCCACACUGGAACUGAGACACGGUCCAGACUCCUACGGGAGGCAGCAGUGGGGAAUAUUGCACAAUGGGCGCAAGCCUGAUGCAGCCAUGCCGCGUGUGAAGAAGGCCUUCGGGUUGUAAAGCACUUUCAGCGAGGAGGAAGGUGGUGAGCUUAAUACGUUCAUCAAUUGACGUUACUCGCAGAAGAAGCACCGGCUAACUCCGUGCCAGCAGCCGCGGUAAUACGGAGGGUGCAAGCGUUAAUCGGAAUUACUGGGCGUAAAGCGCACGCAGGCGGUUUGUUAAGUCAGAUGUGAAAUCCCCGGGCUCAACCUGGGAACUGCAUUUGAAACUGGCAAGCUAGAGUCUCGUAGAGGGGGGUAGAAUUCCAGGCGUAGCGGUGAAAUGCGUAGAGAUCUGGAGGAAUACCGGUGGCGAAGGCGGCCCCCUGGACGAAGACUGACGCUCAGGUGCGAAAGCGUGGGGAGCAAACAGG
rnacentral:rRNA from 1 species